rnacentral:rRNA from 1 species
UACAGAGGUCCCGAGCGUUGUUCGGAUUCAUUGGGCGUAAAGGGUGCGUAGGCGGCGGGGUAAGUUUGAUGUGAAAUCCCGGGGCUCAACCCUGGAAUUGCAUUGAAUACUACCUUGCUAGAGUACCGGAGAGGAAACUGGAAUUUACGGUGUAGCAGUGAAAUGCGUAGAGAUGUGGAGGAACACCAGUGGCGAAGGCGACUUUUUGGCCUGUAACUGACGCUGAGGCGCGAAAGCGUGGGGAGCAAACAGG